rnacentral:rRNA from 1 species
GAUGAACGCUAGCGGCAGGCCUAACACAUGCAAGUCGAGGGGUAGAGUUAGCUUGCUAACUUGAGACCGGCGCACGGGUGCGUAACGCGUAUGCAAUCUACCUUGUACAGAGGGAUAGCCCAGAGAAAUUUGGAUUAAUACCUCAUAGUGUUAUGAUGUGGCAUCACAUUAUAACUAAAGUUCCAACGGUACAAGAUGAGCAUGCGUCCCAUUAGUUAGUUGGUAAGGUAACGGCUUACCAAGACAAUGAUGGGUAGGGGUCCUGAGAGGGAGAUCACCCACACUGGUACUGAGACACGGACCAGACUCCUACGGGAGGCAGCAGUGAGGAAUAUUGGUAAAUGGGCGCAAGCCUGAACCAGCCAUGCCGCGUGCAGGAUGACGGUCCUAUGGAUUGUAAACUGCUUUUAUACAGGAAGAAACACUCCCUCGUGAGGGAGCUUGACGGUACUGUAGGAAUAAGGAUCGGCUAACUCCGUGCCAGCCGCCGCCGUAAAAC